UUUCUUAUAACCAUUUGCUCUACUCAUCCUCUUUCUUGGCUCUCUGUUACCUUGCUUUCUCUCUGCCACCUUCUUCUUCAAUGGAGAUACCUUGCUUUCUCUCUGCCACCUUCUUCAAUGGAGAUAUGGAUAUCAUUUAGAGACACAUAGAUUUUUAUUUAUAUAUGUAUAUAUAUAUAUUUAGAGAGAGAGAGAGAGAGAGCAUUUAGAGACACAUAGAUUUAUAUAUAUAUAUAUAUAUAUAUAUAGAGAGAGAGAGAGAGAGAGAGAGAGAGCUCUUUGGUUGUGUACUUGGUAGGCAAAGUUUGGUGAAGAAGUCAUUGGAGAAAUAGUGUGUUUGUGAUGCGCCAGUGGAGUCUGAGAAGUAGAAGCCUCAAGCGUCUCCUCUCCAUCUCCAUUGGAAGGAGAAGCACCAGAGCAGAGGAAGAGUCUAUGGGUGAAGACAAUGGCUUCAAGUCCAUGGAGGAUUCACCUCAGAAGCCAACAUGGAGAUGCUUCUCCUUUGAAGAAAUCCAUAAAGCCACCAAUGGCUUCCACCAAGAUAACUUGGUUGGGAGAGGAGGGUAUGCAGAGGUGUAUAGAGGGGUAAUGGAAGAUGGUGGAGUGAUUGCUGUGAAGAGGUUGACUAGGGCUUCAACUGAAGAGCAGAAGGAGAAAGAGUUCUUGACUGAGAUUGGUACUAUUGGGCAUGUUAAGCAUCCUAAUGUUACUGCUCUUCUUGGUUGUUGCAUUGAAAAGGACCUUUACCUCAUCUUUGAGUUCUCCUCCAAUGGUUCUGUAUCAUCUCAUCUUCAUGAUGAGAGUUCUAUGCCAAUGACUUGGAAUUUGAGGUAUAAGAUUGGGAUUGGCACUGCUCAUGGACUUCAUUAUUUGCACAAAGGUUGCCAGAGAAGGAUCAUUCAUAGAGAUAUCAAGGCAUCAAACAUACUCUUGACAUCCGACUUUGAACCACAAAUUUCAGACUUUGGGCUUGCGAGAUGGCUUCCUUCUGAAUGGAGUCAUCGUGCCGUCGCACCGAUUGAAGGAACAUUUGGAUGCUUAGCGCCGGAGUACUUCAUGCACGGAAUAAUUGAUGAGAAGACCGAUGUGUUUGCUUUCGGUGUCUUCCUUUUAGAGCUCAUAUCAGGGAGAAAACCGGUGGAUGGUUCUCAUAAAAGCUUGCUCAGCUGGGUAACAUUUAAUGAUUCUUUGGUCUUCUUCGUUUGCUCGAGCGGCGACCCCCAUGAAAGAAGAUAUCAGAGUCAGAAGCGCCUCGACUCCCUCUCCUCGCCCCUUCCUCGGCGCAAGAUUGACUCUUGCCGAAACCCUAACCCUAGUCCCGACCCAGCUUCUCCUCCGGCGAUAGUGGCUGGUUCUCUAGCAAUGAUGAGAUUCACACUGAUCUCUUCAACCAAACCUCUUCUCUCACCCUUAACAAUUGCGAUGAUGAUGAGACCGAAACCAUAAUUUCCUCCUCCACCGACUCAUCAGACAGCAUUAAUCUCAGGAAGGAGAUGGAGAAAGGUCAAGGAGAGCUUCGCCGUGGUGAAGAGAUCUGGCGAUCCAUGGCGAAGAUGAUUGUGGACGAGAAGGAGCUGUACAAGCCCCCUUCUCUGGAGGAGCUCUUGCAUUGCCUCCUCUCUCUUAACUCUUGCCGCCACCACUGCACCAUCAUCUCCGUCUUCUCCGAGAUCUGCCACCACCGCCGAUAAGCAACACCCUUGAGCGCUCAAAGAAAUCGGUGGACUCAUUUCCGCAUUUUCUUCAUCAACCACGACCGCAGGGAUGCUGGAUAUCAAUAUCUUCAGUGCCGAGAAAGGCUUCGAUUCCAUGCGCAUCCGCGAGUCUCAGUACUGCCGCUUCACAAGCGUCAAGGUCAUCGAUGAGAUCAUCAGCUUUGCCAAAGAAUGGCAGCAGCAUUAAUUCGAGUUGAAGAAUCUUAGAAAAGACUUUAAUUGAAUUAACAAGGAGGUUGCAUGUCUCAAAAUUGUGAAGAAGGAUGCGACGGAGAUGAUAAAUAGCACUAAUGGGAACAAGAAAUUGACUGUGGAGAAGGAGAUUUAGUAAAAAUGAGUGGUUAAUGCUUGUAUGCAUUUUCAAUGUUUUUUCAUAAGAAACAUUGAAACUGAUGCACAUCUAAUGUGCCCAUUAUGUGCCCACACAUUUAUAGCUUUCCUUAUCAAAAUCAAAGUGUAAUUAUUAAAUUCUAAUCUAACAUUUCUUUGAGAAUGUGCUUGUAUGCAGAUAACCUCUCUUUAUGGUGGACUUUUGGAGUUCCUUUUUCUAGUUGAAAGCAUUGAUGAUCCAGCUUACCAUGCUAUAUCUAGUUUAAUCUCAGAAUUCAAGAAAGCUUAUCAAACAAUACAGUGUUGAUGUAAAGAUUGUGUGGCUGGUCUCUCAACAACAUGGAGUCAGAAAAUUCAUAAUCAGUUAAUAUUUAUUCAAACUGGAUAUCCUCUUGAUCUGCCUUCUGGAAGCUUGGGAAGCUAUUGCAUUUAUGAAUAUGACAUGGUAAAUAAUUAUCAGAACAACCUAUCUAUCCUCCUAGCCAUUGUCCUUCUGCAUAUUAAUUCAGAAUUUGGGCAAUUACCUUCCAACAGUUUGUUCUGACUUAAACAAAGAAGCUACUCACACUGCAUCAAAGUUGAAGCAAAUUUUUAAACAUAUUCUUUAAAGCAACCAAUUUGUUGGCUUCUUCUUUUAUGUAACACAAUUAUUGUUGCUGCAAAAUUUGCAAUCGAGCAUUCUUCUCUUACAGAAAAUAUCUAGUUAUUCCAACUGACUUAGUAGUACCAUUAAUGCUAUUGAUGGAAUUUAUUAUUUUUGUCUGAGGAGAAUUUAUACUCAAGGACAAUAUUUUCAGCCUUGCUCAAUGGGAUUUGCAACUAGUGGGAAGACAUUUUUCCUAUCUAGUGGCUAUAUAAUGAUACUGGAAUUACCUGAGGAAGAAAACUUUUGUUCUUGAAUCUUACAUUUCAGAGGUUAAUUGGCUCAUGAACCGAGCAUUAUUUUUUGCGCACUGCUAUCUACCUUGGGCGUUUGUUGUACCAUAUUUCAUGGCAACUAUACACUUUUUGGCUGCCAUAAGAGCACAAAUUAGUAACUAUCUCUCCAGAGAAUCAAAUUCAUUAUCUUGUGGUGAGCAAACUACUCUAUUCUUACAAAAUUACUAACUGGCCUUAAAGCUACCAAUUUUUUUACCUCAUCAGCUACUUGUACACAUGAUCUUCAGUAAAGGGGAUUGGAUUUGAAGUUUUUGAUUGGGGAUUAAAGUUAAAUUGGGUGUUGUUCAGGCUUUGUCAUUGGCUGGCUGCUUGGUAGUUUGCAUAGUUAUUACACUUGUCUCAACAUGGAACUUGACAAAGGUGGAAAUUCAGUUGUGCAACAUGUCAUCUCCUGAGGGGCCAAAAAUGUCACUUGGUUCCUAUAACUGGGGACUCGUAUGCAUCGUCUUCACUAUGUAUAUAUAUAUUAAUUUCUUUUUAUUGACUUCAAAGCAGGUAUUUUUUGCCA